AAUUGCUUCUAAUCGAUGGAUCAUCACGAAGGACGGUGAUCGAUCUAAUGAGAUUAGUGCACAGAUCUCUUUUCUUGAUGGACGAGUCUUAAGUCCAUAGUGUGGGGACACUGGGGUGAUUGUGCAAGUGCUUAUUAGAGAACAAGGGUACUGAGCGUGACCAAAGCAAGAAGUCACUUGGAUGUCUAUUCACUCGUCAGUGACUUACUUGAUGCUGCAGUUGUAUGACUAGUACUUAGACCUGCGAUGCCUCAGCUAAUCACGGUGAGGUUGCUGUACUUUGACGAACAUAUAAACAUGGGCCCUAAGGGUCCUUGUGGUACUGAUUGGCUGUAGUAAGUUCACUGUCGGAUUAGGGUUGCAUCUAGAUGGGAUCUAUCGACCUUGAUAGAUUAGGAGUGAUCCUAUGUGAUUUAUGAGAAUAAAUUUGAAAGACCUUUGCCAGGGCAAUUCUGAAAAAAGAGUUUUUCAAUCUUGAACUUGAGUCAAAUAAAUUUGACAUAAGAUAGAUGAUGGGAUUUGACGAGUUAUCCAUAAUGAGGAUGAUAGUGUUAUUUUGAUGAUU
rnacentral:lncRNA from 1 species